rnacentral:rRNA from 1 species
GAUGAACGCUAGCGGCAGGCCUAAUACAUGCAAGUCGAACGGUAACAUGAGUAGCAAUACUUGAUGACGAGUGGCGCACGGGUGCGUAACACGUAUGUAAUCUUCCCACAACUGGGGGAUAGCCCGGAGAAAUCCGGAUUAAUACCCCAUAACCCAGCGAGGUGGCAUCACCUUUCUGGUAAAUCUCCGGAGGUUGUGGAUGAACAUGCGUCCGAUUAGCUAGUUGGCGGGGUAACGGCCCACCAAGGCUACGAUCGGUAGGGGUACUGAGAGGUUAAACCCCCACACUGGUACUGAGACACGGACCAGACUCCUACGGGAGGCAGCAGUAAGGAAUAUUGGACAAUGGAGGCAACUCUGAUCCAGCCAUGCCGCGUGAAGGAUGAAGGCGCUAUGCGUUGUAAACUUCUUUUGAACGGGAAAAAACCCCUUUACGUGUAAAGGGUUGGUUGUACCGUUAGAAUAAGGGUCGGCUAACUUCGUGCCAGCCGCCGCCGUAACAC